rnacentral:rRNA from 2 species
GCAGUCGAGCGAACUGAUUAGAAGCUUGCUUCUAUGACGUUAGCGGCGGACGGGUGAGCCUCACGUGGGCAACCUGCCUGUAAGACUGGGAUAACUUCGGGAAACCGAAGCUAAUACCGGAUAGGAUCUUCUCCUUCAUGGGAGAUGAUUGAAAGAUGGUUUCGGCUAUCACUUACAGAUGGGCCCGCGGUGCAUUAGCUAGUUGGUGAGGUCACGGCCCAACCAAGGCACCGAUGCAUAGCCGACCUGAGAGGGUGAUCGGCCACACUGGGACUGAAACACGGCCCAAACUUCUACGGGAGGCAGCAGUAGGGAAUCUUCCGUAAUGGACGAAAG